rnacentral:lncRNA from 1 species
AUUCACACAUAAACCGAUUCAAUUACAUACACUAUUUCAAUAACAUAAACCAUUCAAACCAUGUUCAUUAAACUCUUUUUCAUUCCAAUUUCAAAUUUCAUAUUUUGCAUACAAUUCCAUACAAGAUUUACACCGUUUCAAUUCAACUAUGAAUCAUAAUACAUCAUUACAAUUACAAUUCCAAAUUUCUAACUACGUCUAAUUACAACCAUAAACCCAACUUUACAUUCAACAAUAAAUUCCAAACAUCCACGAGCAAAAGGUGCAUCUCCAAACUUGAUCACAAUCCAAGCUCCUUAACCAAAGCCUUGCACAAAAUCAGAGAAAAGCCAAUUACAGUUCAAACAACAAAGUGACAUCACCAAGGCAUAAUAGAGUUCAAUGAUAAUGGCACUCAUUCCUUUUGACAGCAGCCUUUCACAAACUCAUAGACAAAGUCAAGCAAACGUUCACAAUAACAGCAGUGCACAUAUAUUGCAUAACAUCUCAUAACCAUGUACACCACACAAAACCUAAGCAUUAUAAAUGUCAUUAAUUUUAAUUUUAAACCAAAUUCCAUUCAUUUCCAUAACUAAUUGAAAUUAACAGUUACAACAAUUAACGGUCCAAAACCAUUUAGUCUCAAUUCAACACCACUAACAUAAUCAGUUUCAAUCAAGCUAUAACCACUAAUAUAAUUUUCACCAAACUAAACUCACAAUUGCAUCACAUUUAAAUUCCAGUCACAUAGCAAUAGCAUGACAGUUCAAUUAACAGCCGCAUAUUAGCUUAACAAAAGUUUUCCUAACUAAUUAACUCUCACAAUUUUCACUUAACCGAAAUUUAACAAACAUUAACAGUCAUAACAGAAUUCAAAACAACCUACUAACUGAUAGCAGACCUAACUCGAGUAAGAAAUCUAACAGAAACUUAACUCCAUCCUAGCAGAAAUUCAGUAAUCACCAAAUAGUUCGCUAAUAGCCGUCCACAAUAAAAGCAUAACAUGGUUUCAUUCAAGUCAUAACAGCUUAGCAUUAACAUUAACAGAAGCAGACUAUUAGACUUCAAAACUCCUCUUCCCAACAUAUAACAGAACUGAACUUUCACUCUUCACAACUAACAGAACCAUCAUUCUCUCGUGACCAAAAUCAACUAACCGAAUUUCACAACAAAUUCUAAACCGUUUCUUAACAACUUUUCCCAACAAACUUCUCAAGUAAAUCACCUGCAAAUCUUCGAACCUUCUAACAUAAAUCACCAUUCUAGCCUCUUCGAAUCCUAUAUCGCGAAUUCGUGGAAUAAACCUUGAAGCAGACAUUCCCAAAAACGAAAUUCUCUUAACCAUCUUCAAAUCAAAGAAAAAGGAGAUAGUUAAAGAGAACUUCACAAAGAAAGAAUAAACAGAAGAUUCGGGGAAGAGAAGAAUCGAAAUUGUAACAAGAAAUUGAAAGGGAAAACUCAUGAUUCAAGAGGCUUCGUCUUCAUCGCAAUCAGGAACCCAACAACGCAUCGAACAAAAGCUUCAUCAUCAACGGCGCGGAAAUGUGAAUUUUGCACGGAGGGAUUCAGGUCGCUCGCGAAAAGGAUUUAGGCACAGACGGUGAGAGUUUUCGUUUUCGACAUCAACGUUUUUUUCUUUUUCUUUCAUGUUAUUACGCGUGUCAUUUGGAUACGAGUUCUUCAGAGCGUUGAGUUUCCUUGGUUCGUGAAGAUCCGAAUUUUGGUUGAGAACUUGGGCUUUUUUGCCCAAAAGGUUCAUGGCCCAGGCGCCAUUUCUAAUACACCUCCCUCAAAUUAUCUUACCCAUGGCCCAUUAAGGAUUAUUCAUGUUAAUCAAUCCCUAAUCCCUUCAUUAAUUAUGUUUAAUUUAUAGUAAUUGCAAUUAAUUUUUUGUGUUUAAUCAUUGCUACUGAUUUUUCUUAUUAGGGUUUAAAUUAGGAUUUUUCUUGAUUUUUUUUUUGUUAAUUAGGGAUUAACAUGGUUUUUAAUGAUUAGGUUAAUU